GCUAAAAGAUACAAUCCAGAAUGCCUUUAAAGAGUAUUAGAAAUUUAGAAGGGCGAAUAGUUAACCUCUGGAGUGUUAUUUAUAAAACCAAAAAAUAUUGCGUUUGUGUGUUUGGUCUGGAGAUAGCUAUGUAGGGCUGCCAAUGGGCACUGUGUUUAUGGAUACCCAAAGUACCUAACCCAUAUUCAGACCUAAGGGAAUCGGAUUGGGGUCCAGUUGCAUUUGGAUACGAAUCUAAACCCAAAAUGAUUUUUUAAAAAACAAAAAGUUGAAAAGAGGACGUGAAUAUUAUUAGGGUCAGAGGCCAGAAAAUUAGAUCACCCAAAUGCUAUUCUAAAUUAGAAACUGAUCCACUAUAGCCUAUUGCAUGCUUGCUUAGAGAAUGCAGACCAUCUUUCCCUAAGUGUCUCUUGUGAAGGGCAUACAAGCCAUAUAAACAAACGGGCCCACCAUGAAGAUCUGUACGUCGAGACGGAACAUUGGCAUCCAUGGAUUUCAAUGGUGCAGUCUGCCUGAUGAGUGGAUGAGCCUGGUUUUUACACCAGGUGAUCUUUCAUUGUGGGCCCUGCCGUUUACAUGGAUGGCAUGUUCUGUGUAAGUGGGAAUGGUGAGACUGCAAGCUAAGUUAACAUACAUUCGCUGUAGGUGAUCAAUUCUCUUCUUAACUUUCCCUAUUUUCCUUACAUGUUGUUUUGGAUAGAAAGAAAUAUUACUCAAAAUCAAGAUACAAUAGAAAAUUGAAGCAGAUUUUAAUACAUUAUGUCAUAUAAGAAGCUAAAUGUUCCAUCCAACCAAUUCAUUCAUAUAAGAAAACGAGCUAUGCUAUCCGUAUGUUUUGCUGUGACAGAAGGAAUCUAAAAAUAAAAGAAAUAAAACCCAUCAAUCCCAUCCAUCUGUUGUUAAAACCCACCAAAAUUGCGCAAAGCUGCUAUCAAAACAACAGAAGUACAAGACCCAAGAGCAUGUCCGGCAUGCAAAUGCAGUGUGGAUUCUGGAUUGAGACAAACAAGAAAUACAAAAGCAGGAAGGACACUGAAGUGGCAUAUGCAGAAGGACAGAGAAAUUUGUAGACUUGAUGCAAGGAUCAGGCAGAACCUUGCUACCAUGCAGCAGUUGGAACAUGAGCUUGGGGCCAUGUCUUCCUUUGAUUAUAGGAAAGUUUUUAUCAACUCAGUCUGGUCAAACUUUAGAACUGAAAGGCUAAAUCUUGCCUUGAGUCUUAGUAUCCAACAUUAAAAACUGCUGCAUUAGUUGUAUGUCUUUGAAUCAAAGUUGGGUUUGGGCUGAAUCAUUUCAUGUGUUCAAAACGCAGCGUCUUCCCUCAGUUACUUAUAUCCUUUUUUUCUUUUUUUUUUUGCUUUAAAUGAAGGUUCAUGCAUUCAAAAAUGCAACAUCUUUCCCUGCUCAGGUAACUCAUCUCCUUUUGCUUUUUCUUUAAAUGAAGGUUGGGGAGAACGGCUAUGGAUCUAUUCCUUCAUAUUCUUCAAAGCCAUAUGGAGGGUUUUUAUUUCAUAUCUUAGAGUUUUGCCUCUGCUUCAGGCUGGUUAUUUGGGUAUUUUAAUUUUUAUCUGAGCCUGCUCUUUGUAUAUUUUCAUUUGUACAGACUGCCUUCAACCCUGGAGAUUGUCAUCCUGGCCCAUGCAGUGGGUAAAGUGAUGGGUAAAGGUGGAGCAAACAUAGGAAAAAUUCGUAAGGUAUGUUCCGUUCCCAGUUAUUAUUGUUUUAUAUCAGGUAACAGGCUUGUGUUUUUAACAGUCCGAUUCAGUGAACUAUCCCAAAAAAAGUCAAUUCAGUGAAAACAUUAUACCAUUCAUAAAAGGUGCAAAAAUUAUAGUUUUAAAGCAUAAAAGGUUCCAUUCAGUGAACUGUCCCAAAAAA